AACCAUAGAAACCUGCGGAGUACCUGCGGAGGGAUCAUUACCGAGUUUACAACUCCCAAACCCCUGUGAACAUACCUAUACGUUGCCUCGGCGGAUCAGCCCGCGCCCUGUAAAAAGGGACGGCCCGCCCGAGGACCCCUAAACUCUGUUUUUAGUGGAACUUCUGAGUAAAACAAACAAAUAAAUCAAAACUUUCAGCAAUGGAUCU
rnacentral:misc_RNA from 1 species